rnacentral:rRNA from 1 species
AAAACAUGUCUUAUAGAAAAAUAAUUUUAAGUCUAUCCUGCUCAAUGAUCAAUUUGAUUAAAUAGCCGCAGUAUUUUAACUGUGCAAAGGUAGCAUAAUCAUUUGUCUUUUAAUUGGAGGCUAGUAUGAAUGGAUGGACGAGGAAUAAACUUUCUUUAUUUAAUUUUUAUGAAUUUUAUUUUUUAGUAAAAAGGCUUAAAUGAUUUUGUAAGACGAGAAGACCCUAUAGAAUUUUAUUUUGGUUAACUUUAUUAUUUUAUAUUUUAUUGAUUUUAAUUUUAAUUAUAAAUUUUGUUGGGGUGACAAUGAAGUUUACAUAACCUUCAUUAAUUAUUAUUUCAUUAAUUAUUGUAUUUAUGAUCCUUUAUUAUGGAUUAAAAGAUUAAAUUACCUUAGGGAUAACAGCGUAAUUCUUACUGAGAGUUCUUAUCGAUGUAUAGAGUUUGCGACCUCGAUGUUGGAUUAAAGAUAGAUUUAGGUGCAGGAGUUUAAAAUCUAGGUCUGUUCGACCUUUGAAUCUUUACAUGAUCUGA